AGUGCACUCAGCAGGGUCCCUGCUCCACUACUGCUUCCACAGGAGGCAGUCCCUCUGAGGGGGCAGCUCCUGUGGCAUCGUCUGCCCAGAAGUGUUCCCUUCCCUCUAGGUCUUCCCUGUUCUUUCUUGUCACAGUUUCAGAGACAGACCAGUGACAAGACACCCUGAGUUGGUGCAGCAGCAGCUCACUUCAUUCAGACCUUGCUCCCUUAUACACCUCGGGAGCCCACGAGGUCAAUCCUCCUUGACCUGAGGGAUCGGUCAAUCCUCACUGACCAGUAACAGGCUGGCUGAGCCUGUUCCUUCCUGCUCAGCCAGACAGAAGGAAGCCUGAGUCUCCAAUGGCCUGGGCCUGCUCUUACUGGCCAAAUUAUAUAAAUAAGGAAAAAACACAUUCCUAAUGAGAUUCCUACCCUGGAUCUCAGGAGAUGCUGGAAUCCUCCUAUUCUGUCAACAUGAGAUGAAACAUUCAUCACAGUCUGGAGCCAGUUGAGACCUACUGUGUCUGAAAGAAUAUGGGAGAUAUGGAGGAAUAGUUUGCACCUGGUGAGUUACUACAAUGAUCACUUUGCAAAAUCAUUAGCCUGUGGAACCAUACAAUUACAACUACAACAAACAUUAACCAAAGAAAUGAAUAAGAACUAUACUUCAUUGAUCUAAGGACUUGCAAGUUAAUGAACCAGGCCAGUUAUGCCAACUUUUCUCCUAAUUUGGGAUGUAGUACCAAGUUCAUCAGGCAGUCAAGUAUAACUUCAGGAUCAUCAGCCAUCGAAGACCACUGGAGAGACACCUGGGACAAGAGAACACAUGUGCCAAUGGGAGGAAAUACAAGCUAAUGACUCCGGGGUAGUCGUUAUCAUAUAUACUUUUUCUGAAAAACCUAUCUAGUAUCUGAAACAUAGUAGGCACACAGGAACCUCUUCUGUACUCAGUAUGCACAGUAU